rnacentral:lncRNA from 1 species
UUGGAUUAUUCUGAUUACUGUUCUAACCUCUCACCUCUAUCACUUGGUUCCAGCCUUCCAGGGCACGACCGACUAUGGUUUCGAGAUCUUGAUGCUGAAUGAAAAAAGGAUAGAUCAACCAAGAACUCCACCAAUGGAUAGUACCAUCAACAUGCCCUCAAUUUGACAGUAUAGUGAUGGCCGAACAUCGAUUAGCAGUUUACCUUGGUUUCUCUGAACAUUUCAUACAAUUGUAUGCAGUUUCCUUGAGAAUGGCCUUUCAGUUCAAAGUAGUGCUAAGUGAUCAUAAUAUCACCGAAAGUCAUAGAACAUGUGCUCGAUAUUCAGUUUGGUGCUAAAAUUUUAAAAAUACGGAUUUAUGAUCAUCCAACUUGCAUUCUCGUGCAUCCCUCAAAAAAAAAAACUUGCAUUCUCGUGCAAAUACUUGGUGUAGUGAUUACCCCUUGCGCUUCCACCCUUGAGGUCUAGAGAUCAGUUCUGAUGCUUCCUUGUUUUGCUAGUUUAUCCAUACGCCUACCAACUUCUGGCUUUUGUUUAUAAUUAAAUAAAGUUUAGUUGUGCAUGUUUAACAUCAAUCGGCCAUGGUGGAUGGAAGUACGUUUGAGUGUAUUUUUUAUUUGCAUUUGAGUGUUUUGUUAACGGGUUGUUGGUUUGAACCUCAUCUGAACCAUCUUUUUCCCAUCAUAUUGAGGCCUUUUGCAUGUAAUUAAAUAAAUUUUGAGGGGGUUUUCUAUAAAAAAAAUCUAGCCUGCAAGGGUCACGCAACGCCUUGUGCACUCCUAGCCACUGACAGAUGGGCCUCCGCCAGGCUAGCGCGCCAUGUGAGCAGGCCAUAUGGCUGCAUACGAGCAGAAGCACCGUAUUUGCACGAGAACGUAAGUUGAAUGACCACAAAUCCGUAUUUUCAAUGUUUUAGCACCAAUCUGAACAUUGAGUGCAAGUUUUAUGACUCCCGAUGAUAUUAUCUUUUGUUCUAGUGUUUUGGAACUUGGCAGAAAUAAAACAGUGCUGCUUGCUUGUGUAGAAAGUGUUUGGUGAAAUGAGAUUUUGCAACAUCCAUCAUAAUAUACUUUACUCUACGCUGCUGCUUACGAAAAUCCAUCAACGCACAUGCUGUCUUCAGUGUUUGUAUUUUGUUGAUUACCUUUUCAGAGUCAGGCAAGUUACUUUUCUUGGUUAUCUCACACAUCAUGCUUGCCUGAUUUGGUUUCUAUAUAUGCAGGCAAUAUAUACUCCCUCCGUUCCAAAAUAGAACAUCGAGGGAGUAGUACUUUACUACUGUACAUGCUGGUGCGUAUGGACACUACAAGACGGCCGGUGUUACGAGGCGUUAUAAAAGGGAAAAAUUCAAAAUAAAUCUUGAAGUUGUAGACGAAAGCUAAAUCAAACCCUAAACUUUGAAUCCCGGAAAUUGGUACUCUAAACUUGUAAUCCCAGUCUAUUUUGGACCCUAGACCAGUUUGGCACACCGAGAAGAUUACAAUCUCGGCCGGGAUUUCAGCUACUCUCACGGACUAGAAUUUGGGUCGGCCCACUAUAACACAACAAGAAUUCGUGAGGUUUAAAAAAAUGUUCGCACAUUUCUAAAAUUGCUCAAAAGUUAAAAAUGUUUCUGUUUUCUAUUUUUUGCACCAAUUCAAUUCGUUUUGUGUUUUUAAAAACUGUUUGGAAUUUCGUGUUUCGCACAAAAUCAAC